rnacentral:lncRNA from 10 species
UAAGAAUGGGGCCUUAAUCUGAUAGAAUUGUGGCCUUUUAAGAAGAGGAAGAAAGAGAAAAAGAGAAACAUCUGUCUCUUUCUCUCUCUUAACCGUGUGAGGACGCAGGGAGAACGUGGCCAUCUGCAAAUCAAGGAGAGAGUCCUCAUCAGACAUUGACCCUGCUGUCACCUUGAUCUUGGACUUCCAGUGCCCAGAACUGUGAGAAAAGAAGUGUCUGUUGUUUCAGCCACUCAGUUGAUGGUGUUUUAUUAUGGCAGCAUAAACAGACUACUGUAGGAGCUUAGACUCUGGGUCCUGAUACAUAUCGGAUCCUGAUGCUUAUCAAAUCCAGGCUCCUUCCUUGAAUGUGUGACCUUUGGCCAGGUUCUCGACUUCUCUAUGCCUCAGUUUACUCCUCAGUAAAAUGGAGAUAAUAAUAUUACUUAUC